rnacentral:rRNA from 1 species
AUUGAACGCUGGCGGCAUGCCUUACACAUGCAAGUCGAACGGCAGCAUGACCUCGCUUGCUGGAUUGAUGGCGAGUGGCGAACGGUUGAGCAAUACAUCGGAACGUGCCCUGUAUUGCGGGAUAACUAGUCGACUAAUUAGCCAAUACCGCAUACGACCAGAGGGGGAGAGUGGGGAACCGCAAGUCCCCACGCGACUUUGGCGCCCGAUGUCUGAUUAGCUAGUUGGUGAGGUAAAGGCUCACCAAGGCGACGAUCAGUAGCUGGUCUGAGAGGACGAUCAGCCACACUGGGACUGAGACACGGCCCAGACUCCUACGGGAGGCAGCAGUGGGGAAUUUUGGACAAUGGGCGAAAGCCUGAUCCAGCAAUGCCGCGUGUGUGAAGAAGGCCUUCGGGUUGUAAAGCACUUUUGUCCGGAAAGAAAUGGCUCUGGUUAAUACCUGGGGUCGAUGACGGUACCGGAAGAAUAAGGACCGGCUAACUACGUG